rnacentral:rRNA from 1 species
UACGGGGGGUGCAAGCGUUGUUCGGAUUUACUGGGCGUAAAGGGCGCGUAGGCGGUCGUGACAAGUCACUUGUGAAAUCUCCGGGCUUAACUCGGAACGGUCAAGUGAUACUGUCGGACUAGAGUACAGAAGGGGCAACUGGAAUUCUCGGUGUAGCGGUGAAAUGCGUAGAUAUCGAGAGGAACACCUGCGGCGAAGGCGGGUUGCUGGGCUGAUACUGACGCUGAGGCGCGAAAGCCAGGGGAGCGAACGGG